UAAACUUCUAAAGGUAAAGGCAUCUGUUUUACAUUAUCUUUUAUGACUUGGAAUAUUUGACUGGUAUUUCUAUUGUGGUAUAAAUGUUUGAAGAGCAAGGUCCCUGGUUUUCUGCUUCCCAGAACUAUUAAGAACACCAAUUGCAAUCACUGUCAGUCCUUGGGGGACAAUUUGCAUGUGAACAACUGAUUAGUCAGCUUGUCUGUUCAUUUUUACAUGAACUGCAUGUCAGACAAUGCCUCAUAUCCUAUCAGAGGCCUUCCAUUUCCAUUUUGGGAGUUUAAAGAAUUUGGUAUCCCAGAUUAAUCUGCCUUUUGAGCAUGAAAACAGUGGGUAAUAUUUUCCAUUCCUUUCAUUGGUGAGCCAAAAACUCAAGGUGCAAGUGGAAUUCGAUCUUUAAGACUCUUUCUACCACACUUCGUGCAAGUCUUCCCUCUCCUGGCUCCAAGAGGUGUUGCCAAAGGAGAUUACCAUCUGAGUCAGUGGACUGGGAGAGACAGACCCACCCUCAGUCUGGGUGGGUACCAUCUAAUCAGCUACCCACACGGCUAGAAUAAAGCAGGCAGAAGAAAGUGAUCAACAGACUUGCUGAGUCUUCUGGCCUUCAUCUUUCUCCCGUGCUGGAUGCUUCCUGCCCCUGAACGUCAGACUCCAAGUUCUUCAGAUUAUGGACACUUGGACUUACACCAGUGGUUCACCAGGGGCUCUCGAGCCUUUGGCCACAGACUGAGGUUAUUUCUGGACACAGUAAUCCUUCAGCAAUACAAUUACCAAGUUAUUCAACAUGGAAGGCUUUGCCAAGACAGUGGUGGCUGGGAUUUGACCCUCUAAGUGUGAGCACAUCACUUCAGCCCCAGGGUUGGAUUAAUUAAGGCCUGCAUGCACACUCCUCCUCCCAUCCUGAGAAUGAUGGUAAAGGUCACAGCUACUAAAACCACAAAGGCCUCAAUGACAUCCUAUUUCAGUGUUAGAAUUCCAAGAAGGCUUUUGUUAAAAUAAACAUCAAGAGAUUUUAAAUAAACU
rnacentral:lncRNA from 1 species